CUAGUGGUGCGGAUGAGUCCUGACACCAGCCCGCAGAUCUGGUUGCCUCGAUUACUGUAUGCAGAAAGGUCAAUUUUUGGCAAGUCCUUGUGCUUGUAAUUGGGAUCAAUCUGCUGGUUCAGCUGCAGCAGUUCCUCCUGAAUUGAAUAAAGGCGACGUAAUCUUUCCUGGCCUUCUUCCCUACGCAGUCGCUCCUGCUCUUCCUGGCGCUGCCUCUGCUGCUCUGCCUCACGCAGCUUUAGGUUCAGUAUCUUCGCUCUGUGUCGGUGCUCUUCUUUCAGCUUCUCUUGCUGCCCCUGAGUUUCCUUUAAACUCUUCUCCAUCACCUCCCGCAGCUCUUGGAUCUCCUGACGCCGCUUCAGCUCCUUCAUUUCAUCAAAAC
rnacentral:lncRNA from 1 species